AGUGAACGCUGGCGGCAGGCCUAACACAUGCAAGUCGAACGGCAGCACAAGAGCGCUUGCUCUCUGGGUGGCGAGUGGCGGACGGGUGAGGAAUGCAUCGGAAUCUGCCCAUUUGUGGGGGAUAACCUCGGGAAACCGGGACUAAUACCGCAUACGACCUACGGGUGAAAGCAGGGGAUCUUCGGACCUUGCGCAGAUGGAUGAGCCGAUGCCGGAUUAGCUAGUUGGAGGGGUAAAGGCCCACCAAGGCGACGAUCCGUAGCUGGUCUGAGAGGAUGAUCAGCCACACUGGGACUGAGACACGGCCCAGACUCCUACGGGAGGCAGCAGUGGGGAAUAUUGGACAAUGGGCGCAAGCCUGAUCCAGCCAUGCCGCGUGUGUGAAGAAGGCCUUCGGGUUGUAAGGCACUUUUGUUGGGAAAGAAAAGCAGCCGGUUAAUACCCGGUUGUCAUGACGGUACCCAAAGAAUAAGCACCGGCUAACUUCGUG
rnacentral:rRNA from 1 species